rnacentral:piRNA from 1 species
CAGAAGUAAAGGUGUCCAUUUC